UAACAUUCUCAUCUCUGCAACUCGUAUCUUAGAUGCAUACGACUCUUUUAGUGUCCAACACUUACUACCAUAUAACAUGGCUGGUCGAUGUCAUGUAUCUAAGUUGGUCCAAAAUAGUUGGAGAUGGUCUAAAAUGUUUUGGAACUUUGAGACCAUGCACACAUCAUAUUAUCAUUUGUGAUGGGUUUUGUCAGCUUUAUUUAGAUAGAAGCUCUUGUAUCCCUGUGUUCGGAUAUGGAGCGUACAUAAGAAAUGGUUUGACAAUUUUUUUUUUUUAACUAGUUUUUCUGCUGCUGUUGCCUCUCUUUCUAAUACACAGAUUAAAAAUAUUUAUAUUGCAUGUCAGAUACUGAAAACUGCCCCCCACCUUUUAAAAUGUUUUCUUGUGGAAAAUUAUAGUAUGGGCUUAUAUUUUGAUGAGAAUUUAGCAAAGUGUUUCCACCUUUUUUGUGAAACAUCAAUGGGAUGCUAGGUAUUGUCUGCCUGUUAAAGCUUUAUAAAGUGUACCCGAUUCAGGUCUCUUGUAUAUUUCUGAUUGUGACAG
rnacentral:misc_RNA from 1 species